UGGGGAAUAUUGGACAAUGGGGGGUACCCUGAUCCAGCCAUGCCGCGUGUGUGAAGAAGGCCUUAUGGUUGUAAAGCACUUUAAGCGAGGAGGAGGGUACUGGUAUUAAUACUACCAGGUACUGGACGUUACUCGCAGAAUAAGCACCGGCUAACUCUGUGCCAGCAGCCGCGGUAAUACAGAGGGUGCGAGCGUUAAUCGGAUUUACUGGGCGUAAAGCGUGCGUAGGCGGCUAAUUGAGUCGGAUGUGAAAUCCCCGAGCUUAACUUGGGAAUUGCAUUCGAUACUGGUUAGCUAGAGUGUGGGAGAGGAUGGUAGAAUUCCAGGUGUAGCGGUGAAAUGCGUAGAGAUCUGGAGGAAUACCGAUGGCGAAGGCAGCCAUCUGGCCUAACACUGACGCUGAGGUACGAAAGCAUGGGGAGCAAACAGG
rnacentral:rRNA from 1 species